ACAAUACAUAAGCAGGAAAACAACUGAAAAAUUCUAUCAAUUCUUAAAUAUAUGAAGUUUGUGGAUAAAAAACCUAUGGCCUGGACAAGAAAAAAUGGAAGGACCAUAAAUAAGCUGAAAUACAGCAUAAAUUCAUGCUUGCAUUCAUAAAACAAAGCAACAGCAUACAGACACAGCUUAAAUAUUGCAGCAGAAAUAACCAGAAGGGAUAUAGGUG
rnacentral:misc_RNA from 1 species